rnacentral:misc_RNA from 1 species
GACAAGGUGUCAUAUACAACCACUUUAUAGCCAUAUCUCCUGCUAAAUAUGAAACUACCACCACACUAUACCUCUCAGGGGUUGAACCCUAGUUUAAAACGCUAAGACCAGUAAAAUAGAGUGGAUAUGUUAAAUUGUUGUAAAUAAAAGAAUUAGCCUGCAAAUUGAGCAUAAAUCAUUGUUAAUAAAAGAAUUCACCUAUAUUGGGUAACAUGAUUCAUUAUAAUCAGCAUAAACAGGGUAUCCAAAUAGGAGUAUUUAAAUGCUUUUUUUUAUUAACAUAUCUAUAAAAUUUAAUAUCCGCUUCCACUGUUACAAGAGGUCGAUAACGAACAGUUAAACGUGAGUAGUUUCAAUAACGAAAGAGUCGAUAAAAAGUGCAGGAGUUCAA